GAUGAACGCUGGCGGCGUGCCUAAUACAUGCAAGUCGAGCGAACGGACGAGAAGCUUGCUUCUCUGAUGUUAGCGGCGGACGGGUGAGUAACACGUGGAUAACCUACCUAUAAGACUGGGAUAACUUCGGGAAACCGGAGCUAAUACCGGAUAAUAUUUUGAACCGCAUGGUUCAAAAGUGAAAGACGGUCUUGCUGUCACUUAUAGAUGGAUCCGCGCUGCAUUAGCUAGUUGGUAAGGUAACGGCUUACCAAGGCAACGAUGCAUAGCCGACCUGAGAGGGUGAUCGGCCACACCUGAACUGAGACACGGUCCCGACUCCUACGGGAGGCAGCAGUAGGGAAUCUUCCGCAAUGGGCGAAAGCCUGACGGAGCAACGCCGCGUGAGUGAUGAAGGUCUUCGGAUCGUAAAACUCUGUUAUUAGGGAAGAACAUAUGUGUAAGUAACUUUGCACAUCUUGACGGUACCUAAUCAGAAAGCCACGGCUAACUACGUG
rnacentral:rRNA from 1 species